rnacentral:rRNA from 1 species
ACUCAAAUGAAUAGACGGGGGCCCGCACAAGCAGUGGAGUAUGUGGUUUAAUUCGAUGCAACGCGAAGAACCUUACCGGGGCUUGACAUCCCGCGACGGACCGAGAGAUCGGGAGUUUCCUCCUUUACGGAGGGACGCGGAGACAGGUGGUGCAUGGUUGUCGUCAGCUCGUGUCGUGAGAUGUUGGGUUAAGUCCCGCAACGAGCGCAACCCUUAUCGUCGGUUGCCAUCAUUAGGUUGGGCACUUUGGCGAGACUGCCGGUGAUAAAUCGGAGGAAGGUGGGGAUGACGUCAAAUCAUCAUGCCCUUUAUGUCCCGGGCUACACACGUACUACAAUGGCUGUGACAACGGGAAGCGAAGCCGCGAGGCGGAGCGAAUCCCAAAAAAGCAGCCCCAGUUCGGAUUGCAGGCUGCAACUCGCCUGCAUGAAGUCGGAAUUGCUAGUAAUGGCAGGUCAGCAUACUGCCGUGAAUACGUUCCCGGGCCUUGCACACACCGCCCGU